GAUGAACGCUGGCGGCGUGCCUAAUACAUGCAAGUCGAGCGAACAGACGAGGAGCUUGCUCCUCUGACGUUAGCGGCGGACGGGUGAGUAACACGUGGAUAACCUACCUAUAAGACUGGGAUAACUUCGGGAAACCGGAGCUAAUACCGGAUAAUAUAUUGAACCGCAUGGUUCAAUAGUGAAAGACGGCUUUGCUGUCACUUAUAGAUGGAUCCGCGCCGCAUUAGCUAGUUGGUAAGGUAACGGCUUACCAAGGCAACGAUGCGUAGCCGACCUGAGAGGGUGAUCGGCCACACUGGAGCUGAGACACGGUCCAGACUCCUACGGGAGGCAGCAGUAGGGAAUCUUCCGCAAUGGGCGAAAGCUUGACGGAGCAACGCCGCGUGAGUGAUGAAGGUCUUCGGAUCGUAAAACUCUGUUAUGAGGGAAGAACAAAUGUGUAAGUAACUAUGCACGUCUUGACGGUACCUAAUCAGAAAGCCACGGCUAACUACGUG
rnacentral:rRNA from 1 species